rnacentral:rRNA from 1 species
CUACGGGGGGCAGCAGUGGGGAAUCUUCCGCAAUGGACGAAAGUCUGACGGAGCAACGCCGCGUGAGUGAUGACGGCCUUCGGGUUGUAAAGCUCUGUUAAUCGGGACGAAAGGCCUUCUUGCGAAUAGUUAGAAGGAUUGACGGUACCGGAAUAGAAAGCCACGGCUAACUACGUGCCAGCAGCCGCGGUAAUACGUAGGUGGCAAGCGUUGUCCGGAAUUAUUGGGCGUAAAGCGCGCGCAGGCGGAUUGGUCAGUCUGUCUUAAAAGUUCGGGGCUUAACCCCGUGAUGGGAUGGAAACUGCCAAUCUAGAGUAUCGGAGAGGAAAGUGGAAUUCCUAGUGUAGCGGUGAAAUGCGUAGAUAUUAGGAAGAACACCAGUGGCGAAGGCGACUUUCUGGACGAAAACUGACGCUGAGGCGCGAAAGCCAGGGGAGCGAACGGGAUUAGAUACCCGUGUAGUC